ACACUGCUGAACAGUUCUACAAUAGGACGAAACAGUUGUCCAGUGU
rnacentral:hammerhead_ribozyme from 1 species